UCGAAACCUGCCCAGCAGAACCACCGGCGCACUUGUCACCGAAACACGGGGGAUGCAGGCCGGUCCUGCUCCUCCUCUGCGGCGCGGUCGGGGCUCCUGACGUGGCCCUCUACCGAGUAGGGGCACCGGCAGGAGAACCGGCCCUCCGUCCCAACAUCAUCCGGCGCGGAAUGCGUCAAGGAAUAAGAAUGUGAAAACACGCCCUCCGUUYGCCCUCGAAUAUUCGACGGAACGGAGCGGCCGUGUGUCGUAUUAACAAAAACGA
rnacentral:misc_RNA from 1 species